GCUCCGGUGGCCUAGUGGUUAGAGUGUCCACCUAGGAUGCGGGGGACGGGUCGCGAGUUUGACAGCUGCCUUGCUUAGUGCU